rnacentral:rRNA from 1 species
UACGGGGGGAGCAAGCGUUGUUCGGAUUCAUUGGGCGUAAAGGGUGCGUAGGCGGCGUGGUAAGUCGGAUGUGAAAUCUCGGAGCUUAACUCCGAAACUGCAUUCGAUACUGCCGUGCUUGAGGACUGGAGAGGAGACUGGAAUUUACGGUGUAGCGGUGAAAUGCGUAGAUAUCGUAAGGAAGACCAGUGGCGAAGGCGGGUCUCGUGGACAGUUCCUGACGCUGAGGCACGAAGGCCAGGGGAGCAAACGGG